rnacentral:rRNA from 1 species
UACGGGGGGGGGCAAGCUUGUUCGGAAUUACUGGGCGUAAAGGGCGCGUAGGCGGCCUGUUAAGUCGAACGUGAAAUCCCCGGGCUCAACCCGGGAACUGCGUCCGAUACUGGAAGGCUUGAAUCCGGGAGAGGGAUGUGGAAUUCCUGGUGUAGCGGUGAAAUGCGCAGAUAUCAGGAGGAACACCGAUGGCGAAGGCAGGUCUCUGGGCCAUAACUGACGCUGAGAAGCGAAAGCAUGGGGAGCGAACAGG